UACGGAGGGUGCAAGCAUUAAUCGGAAUUAUUGGGCGUAAAGGGCGCGUAGGCGGGAGAGUAAGUCAGAUGUGAAAUUCCAGAGCUCAACUCUGGAGCUGCAUUUGAAACUGUUUUUCUUGAGGGUUGACGGAGAAAAUGGAAUUCCACGUGUAGCGGUGAAAUGCGUAGAUAUGCGGAAGAACACCGGUGGCGAAAGCGGUUUUCUAGUUAAUACCUGACGCUGAGGCGCGAGAGCAAGGGGAGCAAACAGG
rnacentral:rRNA from 1 species